CAGCCGGCUCAGCUGGGCUGAUUCACGCUGGUGGAGGGUCCUACCCACAGCCAUCCCACGCACAAACACCAUCCCUGAGCCGAGACACUGAUCAAGGCAAUUGUGAUGGAGAUAAAUGGGGGGGAAAAAGAGGAAAAAAGAAAAAAGCCUUCCUGUUCCAUUUAAAGAUCUGGGAAAAGCAGUUUUCUGUUAUUAGUUCUCAGUAUACCCCAGUAGGCUGCCUGGUGUCCUCCUUCUCCAGCAGUGUGCCUGUGGCUCCUUGCUUGUCAAGAGGUUCUGGACAUUGAAGACAUUUUGCCUCUAAACCUCAAGGAAAAUCAGCAUGCCUGAAGCCAGGAGAAAGGAGAUUUCAGCUCCUCUUUCAGAUAAUUCUGUGCCUGCAAAAACAUUGGUUGCUUCGUGUCUCUUUGUUAUGUUUGGGGAGAGAGGAAAAGAGCCCUCCUGAGCUUUCCAGGGUGGAUGUGAAGGUCAGAAAGGUGAGAAUAAGCAGAUUUCCUCUCCCUGCUAACCUCCAAGGCCCAUCCAGCUCAUCCCAGUCCCUGGUGCUCAGGAUUGACACCAAAUACUCACUGAGAUACUCACCAAAUACUUCU